AGCCAGACUCCUACGGGAGGCAGCAGUGGGGGAUAUUGCACAAUGGGGGAAACCCUGAUGCAGCGACGCCGCGUGGGUGAAGAAGCGCCUCGGCGCGUAAAGCCCUGUCAGCAGGGAAGAAAAUGACGGUACCUGAAGAAGAAGCCCCGGCUAACUACGUGCCAGCAGCCGCGGUAAUACGUAGGGGGCAAGCGUUAUCCGGAUUUACUGGGUGUAAAGGGAGCGUAGACGGCAAUACAAGUCGGAAGUGAAAUACCCGGGCUCAACCUGGGAACUGCUUUGGAAACUGUAUGGCUGGAGUGCUGGAGAGGUAAGCGGAAUUCCUAGUGUAGCGGUGAAAUGCGUAGAUAUUAGGAGGAACACCAGUGGCGAAGGCGGCUUACUGGACAGUAACUGACGUUGAGGCUCGAAAGCGUGGGGAGCAAACAGGAUUAGAUACCCUCGUA
rnacentral:rRNA from 1 species